UAUUCUAUUACGAAUGAUUGGCUAAAUUGACAACUUUGAGUGAAAAAAAAAUGUAUUUUGACUCUUGAUUGUCUGGUGAUUUCUGUUUAAUUUCUCGCUUGACCAUGAAUAGGAAAAAAGGAAAAAGUCUCAUCCUUCUGACACAGCCAGAGAAGAUCAGCCUGAAGAAACAAAUGUCUUCAUCAAAACUUGGAUAGGAGUAAGGGAAUGCAGGGAUCAUUCUGUCCCAGGAGUUUGUACUUCAACCAGUCCUGAGAAGAUGAAUCUUGAAGAAGUGGGAUCUUCGGUGAUACAACAAAGGGUUGAACCUCUUCUUAUGUUUCAGAGGUCAUCAUAUUCAAAUUUUAUAUUUUAAAAAUAUGCAGGACUUUUAAAAAGUCAGUGUCAACUGAUUAAGCAUAGCAGGUCAAAUAACCAAUGCCCCUUUUACUAAAUGGCAAACAUUAUUUUUGGACAUACCUGCUCCGAUAACCCACCACCGCUUGGAGCACUGUGUGUAUGUGUAUGCCUAGAGUUGUUGUUAGGGUAUGUCGCUGCUCUAUAGUUAAAUCUUUUGCACCCUGGAAUUUAAUUUUUUUAAGCUCUUUUAUUUUCCGUCAAGAAAGAAUUUUUUCAUUAUGUUCUCUCUUUUUUUUUUAAUUGCUUGCUGGGGUUGUUGGUAUGUGGGAGUGUUUAGGUAUGUGGUUUCCAAUCAAACUUUGCAAAAUUAUAUGUAUGCAUUUAACUAUCAGUAAAGUCAAAAAUAUCUGGCUGUA